UGAUAUUGAUGAGGCGCAUCAAUCAUCAGUAAUAGCCAGAUGACCACCUGCUAGUGGCUGGUUAUGAAAGGGUGAGAUGCCGAAAUAAAUGAUGUAGCAGAUUUCAUUUAUUGGAUUCUAUGGUUAAGAGCUGAGAGUCUGUCAUUAUUUGAAAGAUAAUGGAGUGCAUCACUUGUA
rnacentral:ncRNA from 2 species